rnacentral:piRNA from 1 species
UGAUGUCAUUGAGUUAUUUCUCUAUCCCA